rnacentral:snoRNA from 1 species
AUUUCAUGAUGGGGACAUUCUAGGAUGUAGUCUUGGAAGCGCUCUCAUGCCUCUGGAACGGAUUCAUCAUGUUGUUGCUGAAAACUUGUAAUAUUCCCAUGGAGAGC